AGGCCCUGUCUGUCUCCACGCUUCCUGUUCAGUCGACACUGAAUCCAAUAUCUCUCUGCGUCGUAUCGCCUCUUCUUCCUCAUCCGAAGACUCGGACUCGUCUUCCUCCUCCUGCGACGAUGAAUCGUCCCUACUAUCAUCGUGUGUAGGGAUACUUCUUCCAACGUCCGUCUCGAUAGGAAACACAGUAGACCGAUGUCCCUCAUAAUAUACCCGCUCUUGAGUCUGAGGAACCGGAGCCGCAGAUUGUUUGCCCUUCUCGAUCACGUAAACAACGGGAUAUUUCUUAUGCUCGGAAAUCAGCCGGUUCAAAUCCGAAUCAGUCUUCAAAGCCACUUUUAUUCUUCGCCCUUCGUCCGUGGUCGAUGUGUAGAAAAGCAUAUAAGUGGAUCGACCAUCCUCGUUUAAUUGAUCGUGCACCUCUUGCAUCAACUUCGCAUGACAAAGGUCUUCCUUAGACAUGUACACGACAACCUCAUCGCCUCCUUCAUACUCGGUUAAUUUCCACUGACCACUGUGCCGUAUAACGAUUGCUUGAAACGACAUCUGCUUCAAAACGACAAAAAUACAACAUUUAAAUACACAAACAGGAAACCGUGUACCCCAAUACAUCAACUGAAUAUACAAACAUGCUAAAAAUAACAUCAAAAUCAUAUUCAACCCAACCGUGUACAGCAAAUUCGACCACCGUGUACAACCGUGUACACAACCGUGUACACGGAAACCCUAACCGUGUACAGCAGAACACUAAGGGUUCAAAAAUAAGGUAAUUUGCGUACAGAGUGUUUUUUUAUGCCGUUUUUUUAGUCCAAAACAUGUAAUAAGUCAUAUAUAUAACAUAAUUAUUGAAAUAAACAACAAAAAAUCACUAAAACUCAAACCGUGUACAACCGUGUACAACCGUGUACUCUAGAACACCAACCGUGUACAGCCGAAAUUAAAAAAAAUAUGUAUUUCACAUACCUUAUGUAAUACAAGCCUUUAGAUGAUUUUUUUUUGAAUUUUUGAGCAACCGUGUAUGAGUCGUGUAUGUGUAUUGAGAGGAUUUUCUUCUUCUUUCUUGUUCAAAUGUCUGAUGAAUGAACAUUUGGUUGGUAUCCUUCAUUAACUACCCACAGCAGCCGUGUACGGAGCAUUUAAUUUCGUGAAUUUAAGGUUGUUUCCUUAACAAGUGUUUGAGUUGGUGUAAAUGCACCCAACAACCAUAAUAUCACAUAAAAUCACGCCAUAAACGUGAAUAGAGAGAGAGAAUCAGAUUUUGCUUAUUUUUAAAUCACAUUUUAACGUGAUUUCGGUUAUUUUUAAAUCAAAGAGAGAGAAUCAGAUUUUGAUCACAUAAAUUCACGCCAUAAUGCCAUAAGAUAUGGUUUGCUUACUCAGUUUUAAUUUUAACGUGAUAGAGAGAGAGGGAAUCAGAUUUUUAUUUUAUUUGGUUAUUUUUAAAUCAAAAAUAAGUAAUAUGUCACUAUCAUUCACUUUAUUGACUUGUACUUAUGUACUUUAGGUCAAAUGUGCUACAAAACUUAUUUAUUUAUGGGGUGUGAUACAAAACUUAUUUAUUUUAUCAAAAAUGCUACUACUAUGUAUUGUCACUUUAUAAAUUUUUCUGAAAUAAAAACAUAAAAAUAAGGAAACAAAGUCUUCAAAAAUUAAGGAAACAAAAUGGAAGAUUUUGUGAAAAUUAGAAACAAAUUAGCCGGAAAAAAGAAAGAAAAUGGACGAAAAAUAAGGAAAGAGAAUGGACAAAAAAAUCAAGGGAGAGAGACUAAUUUCAGAUAGAGUAAAAUUUUGAAGUAGCCAAAAUGAAGCAUAAAACACAAUUUAUGGCCACACAUUGAAAAAACACAAAUUUUGGCCAUUUUUAUUGAUUUGGACGUUUUUACCCUUAAUGAGGCGGACCGGGUAGGAUCAAGCACGCGGGUCGCGUGCCUGGUCGGGUUAGGCACUUAUUGCACUAUUAGUGCCAUAAGUAUCAAGAUUUUACUUUGGUUUUAUUUUGGAUUUCCGUUGGCACUUAUGGCACUAGUGCCAUAAGUGCCAACGGAAAUUUAAAAUAAAACCAAAGUAAAUUAAGCAUUUUGGGCACUUAUGGCACUAAUAGUGCCAUACGUGCAGCACAAAUACAGAAACAACAACAUCAUUUAAAUCCUAAAUGGAACAUCUAAACCCUAAAUGGAUAAUCUAAACCUCAAAUGAAUAAUCUAAAGUCUAAACCCUAAGGGGCCGUUUGAUUUGUAGUUUAGGAUUGAUUAGGAUUAAAAUUAUCUUGAGAAAUUAGUGUGGAUUAGUGUGGAUUUAUAUUAUUUCAUGGGUGUUUGAUAUCAUGGCUACUUAAUCCUAUAUUAUGUUUGAUAUCCAUAGGAUUAUGUUGGAUUAUAUUAUCUAAUACCAAAACUAUCCUCACAUAAUUUUAAAAAUAUCAUGUGUGUCCAUCAUUACUUGGGCAUUUGCAUCGAUAUGCGUGAGGAGGGUAGCAGAAUUUUUAUCCAACUUCUCAGUAUUAAAUUUAUCCGAGGGGGGAGGGGGUGGGCGGAUUAUUAGUAUGGGUUAAUCCCACAAAAUAGCAUGAAGAAGUAGGAUUAAGUAGGAGUUGACCAUAUUAACUGCACAUGAUAUCAAACAUCACACUAAUCUGUAUUAAUUUAAUUUAUCCUACCUAUAAACCCAUAUCAAACAGGCCCUAAAUGGAAUAUCUAAACCCUAGGGGGAAGUGUGCACUUAUGGCACUAAUAGUGCCAUAAGUGCCAUAUGUGCAGCACACAGAUCAGAUCAGAUCUGUCAUGGCUGAAAUCGAAGGAGGCGAAGAUCAGAUCUGCCGAUGGAGGAGGCGGCGCAACGAUCAGAUCAGAUCCACUGCCGCCACCUCAUCAGACCAGGUCUGCCGCCGCCGCGCGCUGGAGAGAGAGAGAGGGAGAUGAGAAAGAGAGAGGAGAGAGCGGCAGCCGUUGGAGAGAGCUGGAGAGAGAGAGAGAGAGGAUCUCCUCCACCACCGCCGCGAGAGCUCCGACGAAUUCUCCAAGCUCGGCGCCGCUGCCGCGCAGCCGCUGGAGAGAGAGAGGGAGAUGAGAAAGAGAGAGGAGCCGCUGGAGAGAGAGGAGGGAGAUGAGAAAGAAGGGUAGAAUAGUCAUGACAUACAAAAAAUGGCCAAAAUUUAUGUUUUUUCAAAUGGUGGACAAAAUUUGAUGUUGUAUGUUGAAUAGGGCCAUUCGGCCCUAUUGUUUCUUUCAGAUAUAUAUACAUGGAAAAAAUUAAGGGAUAAAACAGUAAAACCAAUAAACUCCUAAAACCGGCCCACUCUCUACUCACCAAAAAAACCGAUUUUUUACCAGGUGUUCAGUACAUCUGGUGUCCGUUUAUCACUACUCGUGUAACAAAUGGAGUACAUCGUUAACGUUUAGAGUAAAGAGGAAAUACAUUAUUAACUUUAUAUUUUGUGCAGCUAAAUCUGUAAAUACAUACUACUAUUAAACUUAUUUAUUUUCACUUGUAAACAUUGAGGAUGUAUUUAGUUGAUACUUAACAUUUUAAAUUUUAUCAUCUUUGUGUCAUUAACGGUUUACCCCAUCUAGCAAGGAAUUUAUAGACGGGGCAUUUGGUUUUCCAUUUGCAUCAUCAAAUGAAUUAGGAAUCUCGACAAUAAUAGUAAAAUAAUUUUUUUCGCAUAGUCAAACUGUAACACCCCGUCCAUUUAUAUUAAGUUUAGAAUUCAUUUUUAAUUUAGAAUAGGAUGAUUUACGCCGGAAAAAUGAAAAAAAAAUGAUUUAUUGUAAUUCCAACAAUUUUUAUUUCAAAAACUUUUUAGAAAAUUUAGUCUUUUGAUUUUUGUGCAUUGCAUAAAUUGAAUUAUAUGAAUAGGUGAUUAUUCUAUAUGAUUAAUAUUUAUUUGUAUACGAUUUAAUUAAAGUUUAUGUUAGACUUUAAUUAUUUAAAUGUGUUGAGCUUUGACAAAUAUUUAUUUGGGCAUUAGUUUUUGUUUAUUGAAAUGAUUUUCCAUAAAUACCAAAGCCCAAAAGCCCAAAUCAACCUCCUCCUUUGCACCACAGCCAAGUACAGCACGCAGCAGCUGCUGCUUGUGUUUCACCAUGCCUCUACAAUUGCUACACUAUUCACCCCCAUGCGCCCACUCCUACAAAGUCAUACAAAAUCCCUUAAUCAUAGGGAUUUUGGUUAAUAUUUUCAAACAUCUCUCACGUCUCACCUUCCUCUUUUCAACCUACACCAUCCCUUGUCAAUCUAAUCAACUCCAAAAGUCAAGCUUUAGCCAUGCUUGGCGGCCACCAACUCCCCUAAUUUCAGCCUCAAAUAUCUCUGCAUAAUUGAAGGAAACCCAUAUCUUGCACUUUCACUAGCAACUCAAAUAUCCUUUAAAUUACUCUCUCGUUCCAGCCUAUCCAUGAAGUUUCAAGUAUACAACAAGAGACCACCAUUCAAAGAACUCUUCCCCUACACAGACAUCACAAGGCUUUGUGACCAGGGGGAUUAGCGCUGCUUUCCCAAGACAGGUUUUUAUGUGUAUGAUCUUCAGGCUUUGCCUAUCCAGGUGGGCAUUACUUUCAUAUAUAUCAAAUGAGUUUAAAUGUUACGUUCAAGCAAGUUAUUUCAUGAUAAAAUCUUUGAGUUAAAGUUAUUUCAAGUAUUGUCUUGCCAUAAAAUGUUUCAAUUUUAGUAUGAUAUCUAUCUGCUUUGGCUUUGCCAAUGAUGCAAUCGAAUUCGGGUCCUGAGCAGUUGAUAGCUAUCCUGCCAGGACUAGUGUACACCAGUGACCGUGAGUCAUCUAGCGGGUUGGCCGGUCAAGUGACCGUGAGAGGUGGCCACCUCUCCGGCACAAAGUUCCAGAUAUGAUAGAUUACAAGAGAACUUAGUCUGCAGACGAACUUUAAGAAUCACAAAUGAACUUAGUAAGCUUGGGCCUUUUAGCGAAAAACUCCCUUGCUGUACUGUUUAUGAUGGCAUGACAAUUUACAGUUUUGAGCAUGUAUUUUUAUACUUAGGCAUACGUGCCCACUGAGUAUUUUUAUACUCAGCCCUGCAUGUAUUUCUAAAUGUGCAGGUUGAGCAGCUGAUGGAAUGGAAUGGUGUUGAGCGGGUGUUCCUUUGAUCGUUUCAAGAAAUGUAACCUUGAGUAUA
rnacentral:lncRNA from 1 species